UUGCUUCAGCAGCACAUAUACUGAAACUAGAACGAUACAGAGAAGAUCAGCAUGGCCUGGCGCAAGGAUGGCACGCAAAUUCAUGAAGCGUUCCAUAUUAUG